CUAGUGACUGGCCAUCAACAGAUGCUUCUCUUGGUUAUUUUAAGGUGCUGAUGCAAGAACGUGUUUACGAGGCUAUCUUAACUGUUUAUUUGGUUGCUGCACUGACGGUUACUUCAUCUACUGUUGCCUUAGCAACGGUGCUGGCAUCGGUAUCAUCAUUGGCGUGAUAGUCAUGGUCAUCUCCACCUGCGUCAUCUCUAUCGGUGUACGACGUCAUCGUGGACGGCAGAGGAGCAUGGCUGUUGGGCAACAAGCCAGCAACAUCCCGGGGACGACAGUGACGCAACUUCAAACGGCAUCUUCUCAGCCAAGUACCAGUGGAUAUGGACAACCAAACAGUGGUUAUGGACAACCAAACACAGGAUAUGGACAACCUAACACAGGAUAUGGACAACCAAACACAGGAUAUGGACAACCAAACACAGGAUAUGGACAACCAAACACAGGAUAUGCACAGCCAAACACAGGAUAUGGACAACCGAACCCUGGAUGUGGACAACCGACCAUGACCCAUGCAACAGCCCCUCCACCCUACGACGGUUAAUUGAGUGCUUAAUGGAAUCACACUCUAUGUGGUUUCACAGUGAAUGAAAAAAAAUAACUCCAGUUUAAAGUGAGUGAGUGAGAAUGGUUGUACACCGCUUUUAGCAAUAUUCCAGCAAUAUCACGGCGGGGGACACCAGAAAUGGGCUUCACACAUUGUACCCAUGUCGGGAAUCGAACCCGGUUCUUCGGCGUGACGCGCGAACGCUUUAACCACUAGGCUACCCGACCGCCCCCAUAGACAAUGUCCAAAAACAUCUAAAGUGUGGUAGUAGGUUGUAAGGUCAAGGAUGUAGUGACGGCGAACAAUAAUGAAAUGGUCUAUCACCUUGAUGGCAGAGAACUGGCAUAUGGCAAUAAAGGGAAUGGGUGGAUAGAAUGAGGUGUUUAAACAUUAUUGAAGGGAUAUUGUUUUUGUAUUGGAAUUGAUAUUAUAUAUCAUAUAUCAUAUAUAAGGGAGGACGGGUUGUUCUGGCGACUGAGGUACCGAUGUUGCGUCCCCGGGUUUGUUUGGAAGUUUAUGGGUUUGAAUUCCAUAAUCACAUUAAUUAUCAUCGUUGGUUUGUUAGCACAAGGGUGUGACUAAAGCGGUAGUCUAACACCUACACCACUUUGGGGUUUCCCCAACAUAAAGCUGAUACGCCGUGUUAUACGGCGUUAACUGAAAUACGAAUCAAUGCGGUGUAAACCCUAGUCACUAUGGAACUUCUUUGAGAGGCAUUUAGAAGUUGGAGUACUAAGUAAG
rnacentral:misc_RNA from 1 species